GAGGAAUAACUGCUUAGAAUCUAGAGAAUCUUACGAUCUGCCUUUGGAUUCAUUCUCUUGCGGUUGAUAUUGAUCGUUGAUCAUUGUUCUGAUCUUGGAUCGCAAUGUGUUUGAGUUACUAACGUCUUCUUGUUCACUGUAAUUGUUGAUGACGGUUGGAUCAUUGUUCUGAUCUUGGAUCGCAAUGUGUUCUGAUCUUGGAUGGCUAUUUGAUUGACUUACGGAGUUCUUUAUUGUUCACUGGACUUAUUGAUGAUGGUUGGUUAGGUUACUCUAUGAUCUCUCUGAAAUUGAUAUACAUUGUGAUCAUUAUUGUACCAAUGCAGGAAUCUUUGUUAUACGGCAGACACCAAGAGAGUCCCUAAACCCUUUUUCACUGAAAUUGAUAUACUCUAUGAUCUCUCUUGAUGUCUUUAAAUGUUCAGAGUUGUCUGUUUGGAUGAUAUCUGGAGAGAGAAGAUGAAAAUGUCUACGAGGUUCAUCGUUCUGAUCACCAUGUCACCAGUGAUGAGCCUUGGAACAGCCGCGACGGAAGAAGAUGGAGCACUUGUUGCUUAGUUGUUUGGCUCUGUGGGGAAGAUGUUCAAAGCUGAUGAGAAAAUGUUUGAUGCUGUCACUGGUCUCAGUGGAAGUGGACCAGUGUACAUAUUCCUAGCCAUUGAAGCUUUAGCUGAUGGAGGAGUAGCUGUUGGUUUACCCCGAGAACUUGCACUCGGUUUAGCUUCAAAGAUGGAGCAGAUUAUCCUGUCUCUCACACAGCUUUUGAUUCCUAUGAUUGGAUGAUUCACAAUGUAGAUCCGUUGUUUCAUCUUCAUGUUGCCAGUAACGCUUUGUUUUCUUCGUUAUUGUUCUAGUUUUCUCAUGGAUUCCCUUCUUUCAUCUCAUAUAUUCAUAUCUUGGUGAUUGAUUUUGCAGAAGUUAAAAGAACAAGCAUACAACAAUGUUUGAUUUUUUUUUAAGAACCUUUAACUAAGAAACUAGCAUUG